AGAGAGAGAGAGAGAGAGAGAGAGAGAGGCAGGGAGAGAGCUCUGUUGUGGCUGGCAUUACCUGCCGCCUGUUUGUCUUUUGGCUGUAACAGCUACCGCACAAUUUCCCAAAUGACAAACAUGCCAAAACGGUUAGGGCCCAUAGACACACAGACAAUGGCAACAAAGGCUGCCUGCAGAAGGCGAAGGACAAGCUGAGAAACAGGAGCUGCACCAGCCAGCCAGCCGAGCAGCAGACAGCAGGCAGCCAAGCAGGAGGCAGCAGCCAAGCAGGAGUAGCACAUUAAUCACAAUGCUCCAAAAGAGCUUGACAGCUAGCUACAUGGAAACCUCUCCCUGGGUGUCUCAAGACAACAUCUCUCUCUCUCUCUCUCUCUCUCUCUGUCUCUUUCCCUCUCUGU